GUGCCUCAUCGCCAUGCAUGCCUCGAUAAGAUGCAGCUAUUCUCUGAAUCUGCGUACGGCUCCGAAAACCAGUUGUAAAUUGUUGCGAGCCCUGUCCGUCUUGUCUUCGGUUUUGGGUACAGGUUUCGGGCUCACGGGUCGCGCAUUCCUGUUUCCCUCUUCAGGCUGUACGUAGGCGGGCGAUAUGGAUAACCCCGGUAAUUCUGGGGCUAAUACAUGACUUGUGAAUCGCCAACAGCGCUCAGUCCCCAUUUGUUCUUUUUGCUCAGAGGCGACUAGUGACACAGGAAGCCUGAAGGCGGCGUGGGUACUCAUUUGGCCCCCAGAUGAUAGGAGUAAGGGUACUAUUUCCUCGGACCACAGCCCGAGUUUACUCGGGAAGAGCUGUCGCCCCGGCGGUUCUCUUUUUCUCCCCUGCCAGCCCAGCUCAGGGACCCCCCCUAGGUAAGGCUCAGGUGGAGAAUUCCCCCGCUGGCGAAUCGUCGGCUUUGUGGCUCUCGCGGGGUGCUUCUGACCUAUCAACUAGAUGGUAGCAUACGGGACAUGCAAUGGUUACAACGGGUACAGAGU
rnacentral:rRNA from 1 species